AUACGUAGGGGGCGAGCGUUGUCCGGAAUGAUUGGGCGUAAAGGGCGCGUAGGCGGCCCGGUAAGUCUGGAGUGAAAGUCCUGUUUUUAAGAUGGGAAUUGCUUUGGAUACUGUCGGGCUUGAGUGCAGGAGAGGUAAGUGGAAUUCCCAGUGUAGCGGUGAAAUGCGUAGAGAUUGGGAGGAACUCCAGUGGCGAAGGCGACUUACUGGACUGUAACUGACGCUGAGGCGCGAAAGUGUGGGGAGCGAACAGGAUUAGAUACCCUGGUAGUCUACGCGGUAAACGAUGAAUGCUAGGUGUUGCGGGUAUCGACCCCUGCAGUGCCGGAGUAAACACAAUAAGCAUUCCGCCUGGGGAGUACGGCCGCAAGGUUGAAACUCAAAUGAAUUGGCGGGG
rnacentral:rRNA from 1 species